UCAUCAUCAUCAUCAUCAUCAGUCGAUAGAGCAAGCGACUCGUAUAGCCAGUUCAGUUUACACUGUCAGUGUGCCUGUGGCGUCGGGUGACUCAGUACUAGUGGCGCGUGUCCUGCUCUCCGGAAUUGCAGCUAUUUCUUUCCCUCGGAAAUAUAUGGCAGUGCUUUUCAUAUGUGAAUAAGUAUAGUUCUGGGUGUGUAUGAAAACACACGUUCUAUCCUUUCAUGGUAGUUUGAAUUGAGAAUCAACUGUGAUAUAUUUGUAAGGAUAGCGUCGCCGAUUAAGUUGCGCGUCAUUUUUUGUUUUAAUUAUGGUUCAUAUACAGUUGUUAUUAAAUUAAUUUUGUUAACCAAAAGUGAAACUUGGGAACGGUUCCUUAUUUCAGUGGAUAUAGAACAGUUGAUGCGGCGUGAUAUACUCCGUGAUAUACAUCGUCUCGCCCCGCAGAAUAUAUCAUUAAGAUCAAGCUUUGGUGGAGAAUAGAGUUGACAGCCAGGCUUGGACAGUGCGAGGUGGAGCUUCGUUGACUCUAGGAGUCAAGGAUGGAGACCUCUCUGGCUUGUGCCAUGGUUGGAGUGAAAUCUUACUAAGGCUCCAGCGCAGUACGACAUGAUAAUACCUACUCAGUUCCCACACCACCACCGUGA